rnacentral:rRNA from 1 species
CCCCGCAGGGGUAAGUAGAGUGGCAAACGGGUGAGUAACACGUGGGUGACCUGCCUUCGAGUGGGGGAUAACGUCCCGAAAGGGACGCUAAUACCGCAUGACAUCCUGCGUUUGGAAACGCGGAGAUCAAAGCCUGGGAUCACAAGACCUGGCGCUUGAAGAGGGGCCCGCGCCUGAUUAGCUAGUUGGUGGGGUAACGGCUCACCAAGGCAACGAUCAGUAUCCGGCCUGAGAGGGCGGACGGACACACUGGGACUGAGACACGGCCCAGACUCCUACGGGAGGCAGCAGUGGGGAAUUGUUCGCAAUGGGCGCAAGCCUGACGACGCAACGCCGCGUGGAGGACGAAGAUCUUCGGGUCGUAAACUCCUGUCGAGCGGGAAGAACGCUUCCCGGGUGAAUAAUCCGGGGAAUUGACGGUACCGCUAAAGGAAGCCCCGGCUAACUCCGUGCCAGCAGCCGCGGUAAUACGGGGGGGGCAAGCGUUGUUCGGAAUUACUGGGCGUAAAGGGCUCGUAGGCGGCCAACUAAGUCGGAUGUGAAAUCCCCAGGCUUAACCUGGGAACUGCAUCCGAUACUGGAUGGCUUGAAUUCGGGAGAGGGAUGCAGAAUUCCAGGUGUAGCGGUGAAAUGCGUAGAUAUCUGGAGGAAUACCGGUGGCGAAAGC